AUUGAACGCUGGCGGCAGGCCUAACACAUGCCAGUCGAACGGUAACAGGAAGAAGCUUGCUUCUUUGCUGACGAGUGGCGGACGGGUGAGUAAUGUCUGGGAAACUGCCUGAUGGAGGGGGAUAACUACUGGAAACGGUAGCUAAUACCGCAUAACGUCGCAAGACCAAAAGGGGGGACUGCGGGACGGUUUUCCUGGGACUUGCCCAUACGGGAUUAGCUAGUAGGUGGGGUAACGGCUCACCUAGGCGACGAUCCGUAGCUGGUCUGAGAGGAUGACCAGCCACACUGGAACUGAGACACGGUCCAGACUCCUACGGGAGGCAGCAGUGGGGAAUAUUGCACAAUGGGCGCAAGCCUGAUGCAGCCACGCCGCGUGUAUGAAGAAGGCCUUCGGGUUGUAAAGUACUUUUAGCGGGGAGGAAGGAAGUAAAGUGAAUACCUGCGCGCAUUGACGGUACCCGCAGAAGAAGCCCCGGCUAACUCCGUG
rnacentral:rRNA from 1 species